CGUAGGGUGCGAGCGUUGUCCGGAAUUAUUGGGCGUAAAGAGCUCGUAGGCGGUUUGUCGCGUCGGCCGUGAAAACUUGGGGCUUAACUCCAAGCUUGCGGUCGAUACGGGCAGACUUGAGUUCGGCAGGGGAGACUGGAAUUCCUGGUGUAGCGGUGAAAUGCGCAGAUAUCAGGAGGAACACCGGUGGCGAAGGCGGGUCUCUGGGCCGACACUGACGCUGAGGAGCGAAAGCGUGGGGAGCGAACAGG
rnacentral:rRNA from 1 species